UACGUAGGGGGCGAGCGUUGUCCGGAAUCAUUGGGCGUAAAGCGCGUGUAGGCGGCCCGGUAAGUCCGCUGUGAAAGUCCAGGGCUCAACCCUGGGAUGCCGGUGGAUACUGUCGGGCUCGAGUCCGGAAGAGGCGAGUGGAAUUCCUGGUGGUAGCGGUGAAAUGCGUAGAUAUCGAAGAGGAACACCUGCGGCGAGGCGGGUUGCUGGGCUGAACACUGACGCUGACAGCGCGAAACUAGGGGAGCGAACGGG
rnacentral:rRNA from 1 species